AGAGUUUGAUCCUGGCUCAGAUUGAACGCUGGCGGAAUGCUUUACACAUGCAAGUCGAGCGGCAGCGCGGGGCAACCUGGCGGCGAGCGGCGAACGGGUGAGUAAUGCAUCGGGACAUGUCCAUGUCGUGGGGGAUAGCCCGGCGAAAGCCGGAUUAAUACCGCAUAAGCCCGAGAGGGGAAAGCAGGGGACCGCAAGGCCUUGCGCGAUUGGGUUGGCCGAUGUCCGAUUAGCUUGUUGGUGAGGUAAAGGCUUACCAAGGCGAUGAUCGGUAGCUGGUCUGAGAGGAUGAUCAGCCACACUGGGACUGAGACACGGCCCAGACUCCUACGGGAGGCAGCAGUGGGGAAUUUUGGACAAUGGGGGCAACCCUGAUCCAGCCAUUCCGCGUGAGUGAAGAAGGCCUUCGGGUUGUAAAGCUCUUUUGUCCGGAGCGAAACGGUGGCGGUGAAUAUUCGCCACUACUGACGGUACCG
rnacentral:rRNA from 1 species